UGGGGAAUAUUGCACAAUGGGCGCAAGCCUGAUGCAGCCAUGCCGCGUGUGUGAAGAAGGCCUUCGGGUUGUAAAGCACUUUCAGCGAGGAGGAAGGCAGUCGUGUUAAUAGCACGAUUGAUUGACGUUACUCGCAGAAGAAGCACCGGCUAACUCCGUGCCAGCAGCCGCGGUAAUACGGAGGGUGCAAGCGUUAAUCGGAAUUACUGGGCGUAAAGCGCACGCAGGCGGUUUGUUAAGUCAGAUGUGAAAUCCCCGCGCUUAACGUGGGAACUGCAUUUGAAACUGGCAAGCUAGAGUCUUGUAGAGGGGGGUAGAAUUCCAGGUGUAGCGGUGAAAUGCGUAGAGAUCUGGAGGAAUACCGGUGGCGAAGGCGGCCCCCUGGACAAAGACUGACGCUCAGGUGCGAAAGCGUGGGGA
rnacentral:rRNA from 1 species